GGUUUGAUAGCUCAACUUGUAAGAGCGCCGUGCUUAUAGCCCGGAGGUCGUGAGUUCGAUCCUCACGCAAGCCA
rnacentral:tRNA from 1 species